UGUGCCUUUUCCCGAAACGCACGCGAUAGAGUCCGUCCGUCCGGGGCGACAACGGCCGGCCGGCCGGCGGCAGUCGGCGAGACGCGCACAAAGAAAAUAAUAUUAUGAAAUAUUAUUAAAAGACAAAAAGAAACCAUUUAUACAUAAACAACCGCCUUCGCGGCAAUCCGAACCGGACCGACGAAAACUAUACCCGUGACCGAUGAUUGUUGGCCAAAAGUUAUAUUGAUCCGGACAAAAUGAUGCUGGCCCAGCGCUAUGCCACGGUUUAUGGCGUACCUAUCCGAUGAAAUUGUUGGAGACUCUUUCAAACUGGGCAAUCUGAUAAACGGUGACGUGAUCGUUACUUCGCGGCCAUCAUAGAGUAGACCAGAAUACACAAAAUGUAGGUCAUCGGGCUGUCGGCUGUAUGUAUGAUAAAGUCCUGGAAGUGGGAAUUACAAUAGCCCCUAAAAUGCUGUUACACCUCAACCUUAAUAAAAACAAAGAAUGAUUAAAAAAUGGCAACGGAAUUGGCCAACAAAUCUGAAAAUAAGUUUAUGGACAGAUAACUUCUCAACGUAAUAUUAUGACCGAUCCAAUAAUAACUUUCCAUAGGUACAUCAGACCUAUGUGCGACGGCUGCUCACCAACGUAUCGACAUCCACCAGGUAACUUUGACGUUUUCAACUCACAGUUAUGCAGAUGGAUGUCGACCGGUUUGGGAGCGACGUCUGAUACGCCAUUGUUCUAAUGAAUUCAAACAUAAAUAAAAUAUUAUUAUAAUAUUUUUAUAUGUAUAUAGGUACGGUUAGGUAUAUUAAAUUAAUUAAGUAGAUACUAUAUUAAUAUAGUCUAUUAAUUAUUUUUUUACUAUGCUUUUAUUGUAUUAAAAUAUACACAAUGACUUAUAACUUACAUUAUUGGACCGGACAUACAGCAACGUCGAGUUAAGGUACCUGUCCAUAAACACAUUUUCAUCAGCAAAAUAUAAUAUAAAAUAUAAAGUAAAGAAAU